rnacentral:rRNA from 1 species
GAUGAACGCUAGCGGCAGGCCUAAUACAUGCAAGUCGAACGGUGUCUUCGGACAUAGUGGCGCACGGGUGCGUAACACGUAUGCAACCUACCUUACAUUGGGGGAUAGCCUUUCGAAAGGGAGAUUAAUACCGCAUAAGACAGUAGCUGGGCAUCCAGCAGCUGUUAAAGAUUUAUCGAUGUAAGAUGGGCAUGCGACCAAUUAGUUAGUUGGCGAGGUAACGGCUCACCAAGACUAUGAUUGGUAGGGGAACUGAGAGGUCAAUCCCCCACACUGGCGCUGAGAUACGGGCCAGACUCCUACGGGAGGCAGCAGUAGGGAAUAUUGGGCAAUGGACGCAAGUCUGACCCAGCCAUGCCGCGUGCAGGAUGAAGGCGUUAUGCGUCGUAAACUGCUUUUAUACAGGAAGAAACGACUCUUGCGAGAGGCAUUGACGGUACUGUAUGAAUAAGCACCGGCUAACUCCGUGCCAGCAGCCGCGGUAAUACGGAGGGUGCAAGCGUUGUCCGGAUUUAUUGGGUUUAAAGGGUGCGCAGGUGGUUUAUUAAGUCAGUGGUGAAAGACGGUCGCUCAACGAUUGCAGUGCCAUUGAAACUAGUAGACUUGAGUAAAGUAGAGGUGGGCGGAAUUGAUAGUGUAGCGGUGAAAUGCAUAGAUAUUAUCAAGAACUCCAAUUGCGUAGGCAGCUCACUUGGCUUUUACUGACACUCAUGCACGAAAGUGUGGGUAUCAAACAGGAUUAGAUACCCUGGUAGUCCACACUGUAAACGAUGAUAACUAGGUGUCGGCCGAAUCUGGUCGGUGCCACAGCGAAAGCGUUAAGUUAUCCACCUGGGGAGUACGCCGGCAACGGUG